GCUGUAAAACUAACUCGUGACGUCACACGAUAACCUUUAACAAUAACAACAAACAUGACGAGCACGUGCCCAGCCUUUGGGUGUUGAUCCCAGUUUAAAGACCAGAUAUAAAUUUCUAUUACGUUCCGAAGGAUAAAGAACUGAGAAGAGGAUGGAUUCACUCACGCAAGAGGAAAGACUAUAAAUACUAAAAAUGCCCAAAUUUGCAAUUGGCAUUUUGAGGCCCGUGUUUGAUAACUUGAAAUAUAAACUGCAGGGACUGCCAGUACCAAGAAGAGUUGUAAGGAUUAACAAUAGAGCAAUACCAACAUUACAAUGAAGCUUUUGGGAAUUUCAACUUUACCAUCACAGCUGAAAAUGAUCAACUGGAGCAUAGAACAAGAGCUACCACUACCACCACCAUCCAACACAGGAGUACUGUACAAACAAGGGAAGUGGAGCCGAUCCAGGAUGAUGAGCACACCAGGUGUCACGUGGGCACAGUUAACAGCAUCAGGUGCGGCGUGAUGGACUGCUGCAACACAUAUUCCUGAUUUGUAGAACUGGUGGGUCUUAAGUCUUCAGAUUGUGUGCUGUGUAUCGUGUCCUGCUGUACAAGCUUUACAAAUGUAUACAUGAUGGAACACUGUGACUACAACACCACACUGUGCCACACUGACCUACAUUACACCGAGAGUGUACUCUUCAUGUACAAAUUUUGCCAGCCCACAUACACAAGUACUCCUGGCCACUGGUUGAAGCAAAGCCUUAUCCAGCACUCAUGAAAUUGGCUAUCAACACAAUAAAUAAUAACAAAGUUGUGCAUCAACACUUUAAAUAGUACUAAAAUCUAUUUUUCACAGGAAAUAAUCAUCUGUAUAGACUGCACUUUCUAUUAAAAACACAAACAAACAAAACCAUGCAAACUAGUCUAUGUUACAUCUGCAAGCUCAAAGUCAAAUUAGUUCCCAAGAAUGAAUAUAGAGUUCAAAUUAUAUUAUUUACAAUAAAUACAUUUUUAUAAGUCCAUAAAUUUUCGUAUGGAUAAUUCCAGCUUACUACACAAUACUUUACAACAUAAGCAGUGGUAAGCAAUUUGUUAUUAUGUUACAUAAACAAACUGACGAUCACUUUUCCAUCAUGGCCUUGGAUACAAAAGCUUUUUUUUUAACAUAAAUUUUCCUGUACACACAUACUUACAUGUACGUGAAUUAGGACUCUCCUGUUAAUUCUCACUGUACUGUACUGUACUGUACAGUAUAUUGAAAUGAAAUUCCCAUUAAACUGGAUCAAGUAAGAUCUGUUUCACAACAUCUUGCCUUUUCUUCUUUUUGUGUAAAUAUUAGCCUCUUAUAUCAUUAUUCUCAUUUAAAAUGGAAAGUAAAAUAAAUUAAAUAGGGUUAGGGAGAACCAAAAGUUCACUUGAAUGGAGACAGAAUGGAAGAAGUGUGAUGCUUCAAACAUCCAGGAAUGGAUGUAUCAGCGAAUGGAAGAACGGGAGACAAACUGAACCACAGAACAGAAGGAAAUUAAUCAAGAGAUGUAUUAAAAAAGUGUGCAGAGCCAGAGGACUGUGUGAAGGGAGGCAAAGUUUGGGAUUUAUAAAGAAACACUGAACCGACAUUACCAACCAUGGACUCCAGAUGGAAGAUGAAACACCAAAUUGAAAUGAACAAACUGACGCACUUGAGAUCAAUACUGUAUGUGCAGUGAAAAGUUGGGGACAAAAAUAUCCAGGAAGCAAGUACAGUAUAAGUGAGUGAAUGGAAAAUGUACUGAUAGAUGGUGUUGGCUUGUGUCAGACACCAGGAGCUAUACAAGAAAAAAAACUUGUCAAAAUCUGUCAAACAUUACUAUAGAAAUUCUCAAGUAGGGUAUAUGAUCAACUAUCAACACUUUGCAAGGGAAAAAACAGGAAGAAUUCACACCAAAAAUAAAAAGACAAACUUAA
rnacentral:lncRNA from 1 species